rnacentral:rRNA from 1 species
AUACGGAAGGUGCAAGCGUUGUUCGGAUUGACUGGGCGUAAAGAGCACGUAGGCGGGUUUAUAAGUCGAUUGUGAAAGCCCUGGGCUCAACCCAGGAACAGCAGUCGAUACUGUAGAUCUUGAAUAUCUGAGGGGUUAGUGGAAUUCCAGGUGUAGGAGUGAAAUCCGUAGAUAUCUGGAGGAACAUCGGAGGCGAAGGCGACUAACUGGCAGAAUAUUGACGCUGAGGUGCGAAAGCGUGGGUAGCAAACAGGAUUAGAUACCCUGGUAGUCCACGCUGUAAACUAUGGAUACUAGGUGUUUGGGGCAUUAACCCCCUGAGUACUGAAGCUAACGCAUUAAGUAUCCCGCCUGGGGAGUACGGUCGCAAGGCUAAA